rnacentral:lncRNA from 1 species
UCAUGAAAACAGAAAAGAAUAGUAAGAAGCCCAGGAUCACAAAAGCACAACGCAUGAAGGAGGUCCGUGAUAGCUUCCAAUAGAAAGAUGAGGAGGCGAAGGUAUCCUAGAAGACACCAAGGCUGGAUUCUCAACUAUGAUCAUCUUAUGUACUCGAGAUCCUUCGAAAGUUCCUUCAAUUUCCAUUACAGCUCAAAUUCCUCGAUUCAAUCAAGCGUGUCAGCUGCAACACGUCGAAUCUGACCUCCACCUAAACUAUUUUGGCUAACCAUAAAAUCCAAUCCAACUUCAUUCUUUCGAUUCAAUAAUUCAGCAAUCCUGGCAAAAUGAAUGCAUACGAGCGGUGAACCAGAAUUCCCGUCCAUUUAUGGGAGGAAAACUAAAAAGGAGGGAUUUUUACAUCAAGCUGAGAAGAGAGAAUAAAAAAGGAGGGAUUUUUACGUU